rnacentral:rRNA from 2 species
GAGGAAUGUAUAGCAAUAGCUAGUUGCAUCAUAGUAGAUAUGAUGCAAGAUCGACUAUGUUGAAUAAAAUUCUAGGUAGAAUUAUGAUAAUGACAUUGUCUGCCUAUGUGUCUUGACCAAAUUACGUGCCAGCAGUCGCGGUAAUACGUAGAAGACUAGUGUUAUUCAUGUUUAAUCGGUUUAAAGGGUACCUAGACGGUAGAUCAAGCUUUCUAAUAAAGGAAAAGGACUAGUUUACUAGAGUUACUUAUGAGGGGGUAUUAAAGUACUGCUGGUGUAGAGAUGAAAUUCUGUCAUACCUCUUUUCAAAAGAAAAACCAUGGCACAGGUAUAGGCGAAGGCNUCCCCUUAUGUGAUAACUGACGUUGAGGGACGAAGGCUUUGUGUAGCGAACAGGAUUAGAUACCCCAGUAGUCGAAGCAGAAAAUGAUGAAUGUCAUAGAUUAGAUAUAUAAGUUUAUUCUAUAAAUGAAAGUGUAAGCAUUCCACCUCAUGAGUAAUUUGGCAACAUUGGAACUGAAAUCAUUAGACCGUUUCUGAAACCAGUAGUGAAGUAUGUUGUUUAAUUUGAUGUCCCGCAAAAAACCUUACCACAAUUUGAAUAUUUAUAUUGUUUAUUGUUUUAUUAUUAAUUAUUUUGAACGGAAAGAUCACGUNAAAAAAAAAAACAGAAAAUUAAGAAAAUAGUAAGAUAAUAGUAAGAAAAUUAAGAAAAAAGCAAUAAGAUAUAAUUACAAGCGUUGCACGGCUGUCUUCAGUUAAUGUCGCGAGACUUUGGUUAGUUCCAUUAAAUUAACGUAAACCCUUACUUUAUUUUUAUAUAGAGUAGUUCCCCGCUAUAUUGGAUAUGAU